CCUACGGGCGGCAGCAGUGGGGAAUAUUGGGCAAUGGGCGCAAGCCUGACCCAGCAACGCCGCGUGAAGGAAGAAGGAUUUCGGGUUGUAAACUUCUUUUAAGGGGGAAGAGCAGAAGACGGUACCCCUUGAAUAAGCCACGGCUAACUACGUGCCAGCAGCCGCGGUAAUACGUAGGUGGCAAGCGUUGUCCGGAUUUACUGGGUGUAAAGGGCGUGCAGCCGGAGAGACAAGUCAGAUGUGAAAUCCACGGGCUCAACCCGUGAACUGCAUUUGAAACUGUUUCCCUUGAGUGUCGGAGAGGUAAUCGGAAUUCCUUGUGUAGCGGUGAAAUGCGUAGAUAUAAGGAAGAACACCAGUGGCGAAGGCGGAUUACUGGACGAUAACUGACGGUGAGGCGCGAAAGCGUGGGGAGCAAACAGGAUUAGAUACCCCUGUAGUC
rnacentral:rRNA from 1 species